GGGGAUAUAGCUCAGUGGCAGAGCGCUCGCUUUGCAUGCGAGAGGCCCCGGGUUCGAUCUCCGGCAUCUCCA
rnacentral:tRNA from 1 species